CCUACGGGAGGCAGCAGUGAGGAAUAUUGGUCAAUGGGCGGGAGCCUGAACCAGCCAAGUCGCGUGAGGGAAGACGGUCCUAUGGAUUGUAAACCUCUUUAGGCGGGGAGCAAUGCCGGGCACGUGUGCCCGGAGGGAGAGUACCCGCAGACUAAGCAUCGGCUAACUCCGUGCCAGCCGCCGCGGUAAUACGGAGGAUGCGAGCGUUAUCCGGAUUUAUUGGGUUUAAAGGGUGCGUAGGCGGAUUUUUAAGUCAGCGGUAAAAUGUCCGGGCUCAACCCGGGCCGGCCGUUGAAACUGGGGAUCUUGAGUGGGCGAGAAGUAUGCGGAAUGCGUGGUGUAGCGGUGAAAUGCAUAGAUAUCACGCAGAACUCCGAUUGCGAAGGCAGCAUACCGGCGCCCGACUGACGCUGAGGCACGAAAGCGUGGGGAUCGAACAGGAUUAGAAACCCCUGUAGUC
rnacentral:rRNA from 1 species